GCCGGGCACGGUGGCGCAUGCCUGUAGACCCAGCAACUUGGGUGGCUGAGGUGGGAGAAUUGCUUGCAUCUGGGAGGCAGAAGUUGCAGUGAGCUAAGAUCCUGCCACUGCACUUCGGCCUGGGUGACAGAGCCAGAUCCUGUCUCAA
ensembl:misc_RNA Metazoa_SRP Metazoan signal recognition particle RNA